rnacentral:tRNA from 1 species
GAUAGAGUGGCUCAGCGGUAGAGCGGUGGGCUGCACUCCCGCAGGUCGUGGGUUCGAAUCUCCGUAGUUUGAGUUU